rnacentral:rRNA from 1 species
UGGGGAAUCUUCCGCAAUGGGCGAAAGCCUGACGGAGCAACGCCGCGUGAGUGAAGACGGCCUUCGGGUUGUAAAGCUUUGUUAUUCGGGAAGAAAGAGUCGCUUGUGAACAAUGAGCGAAAGUGACGGUACCGAAAGAGAAAGCCACGGCUAACUACGUGCCAGUAGCCGCGGUAAUACGUAGGUGGCAAGCGUUGUCCGGAAUUAUUUGGGGUAAAGAGCGCGUAGGCGGUCGUGCAAGUCAAUCUUAAAAGUGCGGGGCUUAACCCCGUGAUGGGAUUGAAACUGUGCGACUGGAGUAUCGGAGAGGAAAGUAGAAUUCCUAGUGUAGCGGUGGAAUGCGUAGAGAUUAGGAAGAAUACCGGUGGCGAAGGCGACUUUCUGGACGAAAACUGACGCUGAGGCGCGAAAGCGUGGGGAGCAAACAGG